rnacentral:rRNA from 1 species
AGAGCGAACGCUGGCGGCAUGCUUAACACAUGCAAGUCGCACGGGCAGGCUUCGGCUUGUCAGUGGCGGACGGGUGAGUAACGCGUAGGUAUCUAUCCAUGGGUGGGGGAUAACGCUGGGAAACUGGUGCUAAUACCGGAUACGACCUCCGAAGGCAUCUUGUGGAGGUGGAAAGAAUUUCGGUCAAGGAUGGACUCGCGGCCUAUCAGCUAGUUGGUGAGGUAAUGGCCCACCAAGGCGACGACGGGUA